rnacentral:rRNA from 1 species
UCCUACGGGAGGCAGCAGUGAGGAAUAUUGGACAAUGGGCGCAAGCCUGAUCCAGCCAUGCCGCGUGCAGGAUGACGGUCCUAUGGAUUGUAAACUGCUUUUAUACAGGAAGAAACACUACUUCGUGAAGUAGCUUGACGGUACUGUAAGAAUAAGGAUCGGCUAACUCCGUGCCAGCAGCCGCGGUAAUACGGAGGAUCCAAGCGUUAUCCGGAAUCAUUGGGUUUAAAGGGUCCGUAGGCGGUUUAAUAAGUCAGUGGUGAAAGCCCAUCGCUCAACGGUGGAACGGCCAUUGAUACUGUUAAACUUGAAUUAUUAGGAAGUAACUAGAAUAUGUAGUGUAGCGGUGAAAUGCUUAGAGAUUACAUGGAAUACCAAUUGCGAAGGCAGGUUACUACUAAUUGAUUGACGCUGAUGGACGAAAGCGUGGGUAGCGAACAGGAUUAGAUACCCUGGUAGUCCACGCCGUAAACGAUGGAUACUAGCUGUUGGAAGCAAUUUCAGUGGCUAAGCGAAAGUGAUAAGUAUCCCACCUGGGGAGUACGUUCGCAAGAAUGAAACUCAAAGGAAUUGACGGGGGCCCGCACAAGCGGUGGAGCAUGUGGUUUAAUUCGAUGAUACGCGAGGAACCUUACCAAGGCUUAAAUGUAGAUUGACCGUUUUGGAAACAGAACUUUCGCAAGACAAUUUACAAGGUGCUGCAUGGUUGUCGUCAGCUCGUGCCGUGAGGUGUCAGGUUAAGUCCUAUAACGAGCGCAACCCCUGUCUUCAGUUACCAACGGGUCAUGCCGGGAACUCUGGAGAGACUGCCCAGGAGAACGGGGAGGAAGGUGGGGAUGACGUCAAGUCAGCAUGGCCUUUAUGCCUGGGGCUACACACGUGCUACAAUGGCCGGUACAAAGGGCUGCAAACCCGCAAGGGGAAGCGAAUCUCAAAAAACCGGCCUCAGUUCAGAUCGAGGUCUGCAACUCGACCUCGUGAAGGCGGAAUCGCUAGUAAUCCCGGAUCAGCACGCCGGGGUGAAUACGUUCCCGGCCUUGUACACACC